GUGAGGAAUAUUGGUCAAUGGGCGGGAGCCUGAACCAGCCAAGUCGCGUGAAGGAAGAAGGAUCUAUGGUUCGUAAACUUCUUUUGCAGGGGAAUAAAGUGCGGGACGUGUCCUGUUUUGUAUGUACCCUGAGAAUAAGGAUCGGCUAACUCCGUGCCAGCAGCCGCGGUAAUACGGAGGAUCCGAGCGUUAUCCGGAUUUAUUGGGUUUAAAGGGUGCGUAGGUGGUUUGAUAAGUCAGCGGUGAAAGUUUGCAGCUUAACUGUAAAAAUGCCGUUGAAACUGUCGGACUUGAGUGUAAAUGAGGUAGGCGGAAUGCGUGGUGUAGCGGUGAAAUGCAUAGAUAUCACGCAGAACUCCGAUUGCGAAGGCAGCUUACUAAGCUACAACUGACACUGAAGCACGAAAGCGUGGGGAUCAAACAGGAUUAGAUACCCCUGUAGUCA
rnacentral:rRNA from 1 species